rnacentral:rRNA from 1 species
UACGGGGGGGAGCAAGCGUUUGUUCGGAUUUACUGGGCGUAAAGGGCGCGUAGGCGGUCAGCACAAGUCAGUUGUGAAAUCUCCGGGCUUAACUCGGAAAGGUCAACUGAUACUGUGCGACUAGAGUGCAGAAGGGGCAACUGGAAUUCUCGGUGUAGCGGUGAAAUGCGUAGAUAUCGAGAGGAACACCUGCGGCGAAGGCGGGUGCUGGGCUGACACUGACGCUGAUGCGCGAAAGCCAGGGGAGCGAACGGG